CGACAUAACUUUACGCUCAUUUAUCCGUUUUACGCGAUUCCUCUUUUGAUUUUAUGUAUUUUUACGGAUGCCGCCUUCGAAACCAAGACGUAGUGACAUGUCAAGAUCCUCUUUAAUUUUUUUUAUCAUUCAUGUCACAAAAAAUAUCGUUUACACUGCGUAAAAGUCAUUUGUGAUUUUAUUGGCUCUACCAUCUAUAUAUAAAAAGAAGUAGGAUACAAAUUUUGCCAAUAAAAGAGAUGCAACACGAGGACUUCCCAGGGGGUCACCCAUCCUAGUACUACUCUCGCCCAGGCACGCAUAACUUCGGAGUUCUGAUGGGAUCCGGUGCGUUAGAGCUGGUAUGAUCGCAUCCGAUAUUCCUUGCACUCUAAAUUUUCUUAUUACCCUUCCUCCUUCCGCUCUAGGUGCGAAAGUGUGAAGCCUAAAAACUACAUAAAUUUACGCUCAUUUAUCCGUUUUACGCGAUUCCUCUUUUGAUUUUAUGUAUUUUUUACGAAUGCCGCCUUCGAAACCAAGACGUAGUGACAUGUCAAGAUCCUCUUUAAUUUUUUUUAUCAUUCAUGUAAAAAAAAAUAUCGUUUACACUGCGUAAAAAGUCAUUUGUGAUUUUAUUGGCUCGACCAUCGAUAUAUUAAAAGAAGUAGGCUACAAAUUUUGCCAAAAAAAGGGAUGCAA
rnacentral:lncRNA from 1 species